GUGAGGAAUAUUGGUCAAUGGGCGAAAGCCUGAACCAGCCAUGUCGCGUGAAGGAUGAAUGUCCUAUGGAUUGUAAACUUCUUUUGCAGGAGGGUAAAGUGAGCUACGUGUAGUUCAUUGCAAGUACCCUGCGAAUAAGCAUCGGCUAACUCCGUGCCAGCAGCCGCGGUAAUACGGAGGAUGCGAGCGUUAUCCGGAUUUAUUGGGUUUAAAGGGUGCGUAGGCGGACUAAUUAGUCAGCGGUGAAAUUUUGCGGCUCAACCGUAAAACUGCCGUUGAAACUGUUAGUCUUGAGUGCGGUAGAGGUAGGCGGAAUGUGUGGUGUAGCGGUGAAAUGCUUAGAUAUCACACAGAACACCGAUUGCGUAGGCAGCUUACUGGAGCGCAACUGACGCUGAGGCACGAAAGCGUGGGGAUCGAACAGGAUUAGAUACCCGGGUAGUCC
rnacentral:rRNA from 1 species